CGCGAAUGGCUCAUUACAACAGCUAUAAUUUACUUGAUCUUGACACAAUCCUACUUGGAUAACUGUGGUAAUUCUAGAGCUAAUACAUGCAUUAAAGCUCUGACCUCACGGGAAGAGUGCAUUUAUUAGAACAAAACCAAGCGGCUUCGGCUGCUUCUGGUUGACUCAUAGUAACUGAGCUGAUCGCAUGGUCUUGCACCGGCGACGUGUCUUUCAAGUAUCUGCCGUAUCAACUUUCGAUGGUAGUGUAUCUGACUACCAUGGUGAUCACGCGUAACGGAGAAUAAGGGUUCGGCUCCGGAGAGUUCGCCUGAGAAAUCGCGAACACAUCUAAGGAAGGCAGCAGGCGCGAAAAUUACCCACUCUCAGCACGAGGAGGUAGUGGCGAAAAAUAACGAGACCGUUCUCUUAUGAGGCCGGUCAUCGGAAUGGGUACAAUUUAAACCCUUUAACGAGUAUCUAUGAGAGGGCAAGUCUGGUGCCAGCAGCCGCGGUAAUUCCAGCU
rnacentral:rRNA from 1 species